UGCUUAACACAUGCAAGUCGAACGGAAAGGCCCUUCGGGGUACUCGAGUGGCGAACGGGUGAGUAACACGUGGGUGAUCUGCCCUGCACUUUGGGAUAAGCCUGGGAAACUGGGUCUAAUACCGAAUAGGACCGCGCUCUUCAUGGGGUGUGGUGGAAAGCUUUUGCGGUGUGGGAUGGGCCCGCGGCCUAUCAGCUUGUUGGUGGGGUAAUGGCCUACCAAGGCGACGACGGGUAGCCGGCCUGAGAGGGUGACCGGCCACACUGGGACUGAGAUACGGCCCAGACUCCUACGGGAGGCAGCAGUGGGGAAUAUUGCACAAUGGGCGCAAGCCUGAUGCAGCGACGCCGCGUGAGGGAUGACGGCCUUCGGGUUGUAAACCUCUUUCAAUAGGGACGAAGCGCAAGUGACGGUACCUAUAGAAGAAGGACCGGCCAACUACGUGCCAGCAGCCGCGGUAAUACGUAGGGUCCGAGCGUUGUCCGGAAUUACUGGGCGUAAAGAGCUCGUAGGUGGUUUGUCGCGUUGUUCGUGAAA
rnacentral:rRNA from 1 species